UUUGUGCACAUCAUCAAUGACG
rnacentral:miRNA from 1 species